rnacentral:lncRNA from 1 species
CUACGAAGCUUGGAACACAGCUUUAUUACUUGGGAGACAAACCAAGAUUAUACUUAAAAAAUUAAAAAAUAUUAAAAUAUAUUUGAUUGGAGGAGUCAGACUCUACGGAAAGGAAUAAAAAUGAAUGAUUUCCGUUCCAACCAUUUGAUUGAGAGAGGAAGAGAAUUUUAUUCUCAUCUAAUUUUAAAAAAAUUUGAGAAUUGCAUCGAUUCUCAAAAUCUAAUUCCUAUUUUUUUUUUAAGAUUUGAAUCUUAUUCUAAUUCUGAUUCAGAU